rnacentral:rRNA from 1 species
GAUGAACGCUGGCGGCGUGCCUAAUACAUGCAAGUCGAGCGAACAGAUGAGGAGCUUGCUCCUCUGACGUUAGCGGCGGACGGGUGAGUAACACGUGGAUAACCUACCUAUAAGACUGGGAUAACUUCGGGAAACCGGAGCUAAUACCGGAUAAUAUAUUGAACCGCAUGGUUCAAUAGUGAAAGACGGUUUUGCUGUCACUUAUAGAUGGAUCCGCGCCGCAUUAGCUAGUUGGUAAGGUAACGGCUUACCAAGGCAACGAUGCGUAGCCGACCUGAGAGGGUGAUCGGCCACACUGGAACUGAGACACGGUCCAGGCUCCUACGGGAGGCAGCAGUAGGGAAUCUUCCGCAAUGGGCGAAAGCCUGACGGAGCAACGCCGCGUGAGUGAUGAAGGUCUUCGGAUCGUAAAACUCUGUUAUUAGGGAAGAGCAAAUGUGUAAGUAACUAUGCACGUCUGGACGGUACCUAAUCAGAAAGCCACGGCUAACUACGU